rnacentral:rRNA from 1 species
UGGGGAAUAUUGGACAAUGGGCGAAAGCCUGAUCCAGCGACGCCGCGUGGGUGAUGAAGGCCUUCGGGUUGUAAAGCCCUGUCGUAAGGGAAGAAGCUUCGGUUGACGGUACCUUACAAGAAAGCACCGGCUAACUCCGUGCCAGCAGCCGCGGUAAUACGGAGGGUGCAAGCGUUGCUCGGAAUUACUGGGCGUAAAGCGAACGCAGGCGGCUUACCAAGUCGGAUGUGAAAGCCCUGGGCUCAACCCAGGAAUUGCAUUCGAAACUGGUAGGCUUGAGUCCGAGAGAGGGAGGUGGAAUUCCAGGUGUAGAGGUGAAAUUCGUUGAUAUCUGGAGGAACACCGGUGGCGAAGGCGGCCUCCUGGCUCGGUACUGACGCUCAUGUUCGAAAGCGUGGGGAGCAAACAGG